rnacentral:rRNA from 1 species
GGGCUACUGUCUUGUAAUUGGAAUGAUGGCGACCCAAACCCUCGCCAGAGUACCAAUUGGAGGGCAAGUCUGGUGCCAGCAGCCGCGGUAAUUCCAGCUCCAAUAGCGUAUAUUAAACUUGUUGCAGUUAAAAAGCUCGUAGUUGAACUUCGGCCUUGCGCGUCCUGCGGGUCUGCGCGCGGCCUUUGCGUUACUUUGAGAAAAUUAGAGUGUUUCAAGCAGGCUUUCGCCGUGAAUACUUGAGCAUGGAAUAACUGGGCAGGACCUUGGUUCUUCUUUGUUGGUUUUGUACCUGGGUAAUGGUUAAUAGGAACGGUUGGGGGCAUUCGUAUUUAACUGUCA